AUGUGUCUGUCUAUCCCUGUUCUCUCCCCUCUGCACAGGCCAUACAAACGCUUCACACCGCGUGGCCGCUGCCACUCUAACCUGGUGGUCCCAGCGCGCACGACCCACGUGGAGUUCCAGGUCUCUGGCAGCCUCUGGAACUGCCGGUCUGCAGCCAACAAGGCUGAAUUCAUCUCAGCCUAUGCUACCCUCCAGUCCCUAGACUUCUUGGCGCUGACGGAAACAUGGAUUACCACAGAUAACACUGCUACUCCUACUGCUCUCUCUUCGUCUGCCCACGUGUUCUCGCAUACCCCUAGAGCAUCGAGCCAGCGGGGUGGUGGCACUGGAAUCCUCAUCUCUCCCAAGUGGACAUUCUCUCUUUCUCCCCUGACCCAUCUGUCUAUCUCCUCAUUUGAAUUCCAUGCUGUCACAGUUACCAGCCCUUUCAAGCUUAACAUCCUUAUCAUUUAUCGCCCUCCAGGUUCCCUUGGAGAGUUCAUCAAUGAGCUUGACACCUUGAUAAGUUCCUUUCCUGAGGAUGGCUCACCUCUCACAGUUCUGGGUGACUUCAACCUCCCCACGUCUACCUUUGACUCAUUCCUCUCUGCCUCCUUCUUUCCACUCCUCUCCUCUUUUGACCUCACCCUCUCACCUUCCCCCCUACUCACAAGGCAGGCAAUACGCUUGACCUCAUCUUUACUAGAUGCUGUUCUUCCACUAAUCUCAUUGCAACUCCCCUCCAAAUCUCCGACCACUACCUUGUAUCCUUUUCCCUCUUGCUCUCAUCCAACACUUCUCACUCUGCCCCUACUCGGAUGGUAUUGCGCCGUCCCAACCUUCGCUCUCUCUCUCCCGCUACUCUCUCCUCUUCCAUCCUAUCAUCUCUUCCCUCUGCUCAAACCUUCUCCAACCUAUCUCCUGAUUCUACCUCCUCAACCCUCCUCUCCUCCAUUUUUGCAUCCUUUGAUUUUCUCUGUCCCCUAUCCUCCAGGCCGGCUCGGUCCUCCCCUCCUGCUCCGUGGCUCGACGACUCACUACGAGCUCACAGAACAGGGCUCCGGGCAGCCGAGCGGAAAUGGAGGAAAACUCGCCUCCCUGCGGACCUGGCAUCCUUUCACUCCCUCCUCUCUACAUUCUCCUCUUCUGUCUCUGCUGCUAAAGCCACUUUCUACCACUCUAAAUUCCAAGCAUCUGCCUCUAACCCUAGGAAGCUCUUUGCUACCUUCUCCUCCCUCCUGA
rnacentral:lncRNA from 8 species